rnacentral:rRNA from 1 species
AUUGAACGCUGGCGGCAUGCUUUACACAUGCGAGUCGAGCGGCAGCGCGGGGGCAACCCUGGCGGCGAGCGGCGGACGGGUGAGUAGAGCAUCGGAACGUAUCCCGUAGUGGGGGACAACCCAGCGAAAGCUGGGCUAAUACCGCAUAUGCUCUACGGAGGAAAGUGGGGGACUUCGCAAGGAGCCCCACGCUCGGGGAGCGGCCGAUGUCCGAUUAGCUAGUUGGUGGGGUAAAGGCCCACCAAGGCGACGAUCGGUAGCUGGUCUGAGAGGAUGAUCAGCCACACUGGGACUGAGACACGGCCCAGACUCCUACGGGAGGCAGCAGUGGGGAAUUUUGGACAAUGGGGGCAACCCUGAUCCAGCCAUGCCGCGUGCGGGAAGAAGGCCUUCGGGUUGUAAACCGCUUUUGUCUGGGAAGAAAAGGCGCCUCCUAAUACGGGGCGUUCUUGACGGUACUGGAAGAAUAAGCACCGGCUAACUACGUGCCAGCCGCCGCAGUAAAAC